GCCUCCAGCCAUACCACUCUGAAUGCACCCAGUCUCAUCUCAUCUCUGAUGUUGAGCAGGGUGGGGCUGAGUUACUAGAAAUAAGGAAUGACUAGAAAAUUCAGGUGACGGUGCAG
rnacentral:rRNA from 1 species